UUAAGCGACUAAGCGUACACGGUGGAUGCCCUGGCAGUCAGAGGCGAUGAAGGACGUGCUAAUCUGCGAUAAGCGUCGGUAAGGUGAUAUGAACCGUUAUAACCGGCGAUUUCCGAAUGGGGAAACCCAGUGUGAUUCGUCACACUAUCAUUAACUGAAUCCAUAGGUUAAUGAGGCGAACCGGGGGAACUGAAACAUCUAAGUACCCCGAGGAAAAGAAAUCAACCGAGAUUCCCCAGUAGCGGCGAGCGAACGGGGAGCAGCCCAGAGCCUGAAUCAGUGUGUGUGUUAGUGGAAGCGUCUGGAAAGGCGCGCGAUACAGGGUGACAGCCCCGUACACAAAAAUGCACAUGCUGUGAGCUCGAUGAGUAGGGCGGGACACGUGGUAUCCUGUCUGAAUAUGGGGGGACCAUCCUCCAAGGCUAAAUACUCCUGACUGACCGAUAGUGAACCAGUACCGUGAGGGAAAGGCGAAAAGAACCCCGGCGAGGGGAGUGAAAAAGAACCUGAAACCGUGUACGUACAAGCAGUGGGAGCACGCUUAGGCGUGUGACUGCGUACCUUUUGUAUAAUGGGUCAGCGACUUAUAUUCUGUAGCAAGGUUAACCGAAUAGGGGAGCCGAAGGGAAACCGAGUCUUAACUGGGCGUUAAGUUGCAGGGUAUAGACCCGAAACCCGGUGAUCUAGCCAUGGGCAGGUUGAAGGUUGGGUAACACUAACUGGAGGACCGAACCGACUAAUGUUGAAAAAUUAGCGGAUGACUUGUGGCUGGGGGUGAAAGGCCAAUCAAACCGGGAGAUAGCUGGUUCUCCCCGAAAGCUAUUUAGGUAGCGCCUCGUGAAUUCAUCUCCGGGGGUAGAGCACUGUUUCGGCAAGGGGGUCAUCCCGACUUACCAACCCGAUGCAAACUGCGAAUACCGGAGAAUGUUAUCACGGGAGACACACGGCGGGUGCUAACGUCCGUCGUGAAGAGGGAAACAACCCAGACCGCCAGCUAAGGUCCCAAAGUCAUGGUUAAGUGGGAAACGAUGUGGGAAGGCCCAGACAGCCAGGAUGUUGGCUUAGAAGCAGCCAUCAUUUAAAGAAAGCGUAAUAGCUCACUGGUCGAGUCGGCCUGCGCGGAAGAUGUAACGGGGCUAAACCAUGCACCGAAGCUGCGGCAGCGACGCUGAUGCGUUGUUGGGUAGGGGAGCGUUCUGUAAGCCUGUGAAGGUGUGCUGUGAGGCAUGCUGGAGGUAUCAGAAGUGCGAAUGCUGACAUAAGUAACGAUAAAGCGGGUGAAAAGCCCGCUCGCCGGAAGACCAAGGGUUCCUGUCCAACGUUAAUCGGGGCAGGGUGAGUCGACCCCUAAGGCGAGGCCGAAAGGCGUAGUCGAUGGGAAACAGGUUAAUAUUCCUGUACUUGGUGUUACUGCGAAGGGGGGACGGAGAAGGCUAUGUUGGCCGGGCGACGGUUGUCCCGGUUUAAGCGUGUAGGCUGGUUUUCCAGGCAAAUCCGGAAAAUCAAGGCUGAGGCGUGAUGACGAGGCACUACGGUGCUGAAGCAACAAAUGCCCUGCUUCCAGGAAAAGCCUCUAAGCAUCAGGUAACAUCAAAUCGUACCCCAAACCGACACAGGUGGUCAGGUAGAGAAUACCAAGGCGCUUGAGAGAACUCGGGUGAAGGAACUAGGCAAAAUGGUGCCGUAACUUCGGGAGAAGGCACGCUGAUAUGUAGGUGAAGUCCCUCGCGGAUGGAGCUGAAAUCAGUCGAAGAUACCAGCUGGCUGCAACUGUUUAUUAAAAACACAGCACUGUGCAAACACGAAAGUGGACGUAUACGGUGUGACGCCUGCCCGGUGCCGGAAGGUUAAUUGAUGGGGUCAGCGCAAGCGAAGCUCUUGAUCGAAGCCCCGGUAAACGGCGGCCGUAACUAUAACGGUCCUAAGGUAGCGAAAUUCCUUGUCGGGUAAGUUCCGACCUGCACGAAUGGCGUAAUGAUGGCCAGGCUGUCUCCACCCGAGACUCAGUGAAAUUGAACUCGCUGUGAAGAUGCAGUGUACCCGCGGCAAGACGGAAAGACCCCGUGAACCUUUACUAUAGCUUGACACUGAACAUUGAGCCUUGAUGUGUAGGAUAGGUGGGAGGCUUUGAAGUGUGGACGCCAGUCUGCAUGGAGCCGGCCUUGAAAUACCACCCUUUAAUGUUUGAUGUUCUAACGUUGACCCGUGAUCCGGGUUGCGGACAGUGUCUGGUGGGUAGUUUGACUGGGGCGGUCUCCUCCUAAAGAGUAACGGAGGAGCACGAAGGUUGGCUAAUCCUGGUCGGACAUCAGGAGGUUAGUGCAAUGGCAUAAGCCAGCUUGACUGCGAGCGUGACGGCGCGAGCAGGUGCGAAAGCAGGUCAUAGUGAUCCGGUGGUUCUGAAUGGAAGGGCCAUCGCUCAACGGAUAAAAGGUACUCCGGGGAUAACAGGCUGAUACCGCCCAAGAGUUCAUAUCGACGGCGGUGUUUGGCACCUCGAUGUCGGCUCAUCACAUCCUGGGGCUGAAGUAGGUCCCAAGGGUAUGGCUGUUCGCCAUUUAAAGUGGUACGCGAGCUGGGUUUAGAACGUCGUGAGACAGUUCGGUCCCUAUCUGCCGUGGGCGCUGGAGAACUGAGGGGGGCUGCUCCUAGUACGAGAGGACCGGAGUGGACGCAUCACUGGUGUUCGGGUUGUCAUGCCAAUGGCACUGCCCGGUAGCUAAAUGCGGAAGAGAUAAGUGCUGAAAGCAUCUAAGCACGAAACUUGCCCCGAGAUGAGUUCUCCCUGACUCCUUGAGAGUCCUGAAGGAACGUUGAAGACGACGACGUUGAUAGGCCGGGUGUGUAAGCGCAGCGAUGCGUUGAGCUAACCGGUACUAAUGAACCGUGAGGCUUAACCUU
rnacentral:rRNA from 1 species